GCUUAGUGGUCAGAGUAAUGGUGCGUAAAGCCAAAGGUCCCGGGUUCGAUUCCCGG
rnacentral:tRNA from 1 species